CCAGGAGAAGCGGACGAGCGGCUCGAGGAGCUCAGGGCAGCGCUGGCCCAACGGGACAGGGAACUGGCCGAGCUCAGGGAGGAGCUGGGUGAGUCUGGGGGGA